AGAUGGUGAGGUCCUUGAGGACAGAAGCCAUGUUUUAUUUAUCUUUGUAUCCUUCUGCCUGAUAAAUAAUUGAAUUGCCCAGGGUUGGAACUGACUAGAUUUGGCUCAUGGAAUUCCAGAUGCUAUGAAGAGAAGAAUAUGGAAUGAUGGGGUUGCUGACUUCAAGUCUGGAGAUCAGUCAGAAAGAAUCCCUCUUAUCUACUAUGGGAAGGCUUGCUUUGGACCCAGUAGUAGUCUUACAUCAUCAG